rnacentral:rRNA from 1 species
UACCAGCACCCCGAGUGGUCGGGACGAUUAUUGGGCCUAAAGCAUCCGUAGCCGGCCUUACAAGUCCUCCGUUAAAUCCAGCUGCUUAACAGAUGGGCUGCGGAGGAUACUAUAAGACUAGGAGGCAGGAGAGGCAAGCGGUACUCAGUGGGUAGGGGUAAAAUCCGUUGAUCCAAUGAAGACCACCAGUGGCGAAGGCGGCUUGCCAGAAUGCGCUCGACGGUGAGGGAUGAAAGCUGGGGGAGCAAACCGG